rnacentral:rRNA from 1 species
UUCCUACGGGGCGCAGCAGUGGGGAAUAUUGCACAAUGGGGGAAACCCUGAUGCAGCAACGCCGCGUGAGUGAAGAAGUAUUUCGGUAUGUAAAGCUCUAUCAGCAGGGAAGAGAAUGACGGUACCUGACUAAGAAGCCCCGGCUAACUACGUGCCAGCAGCCGCGGUAAUACGUAGGGGGCGAGCGUUAUCCGGAUUUACUGGGUGUAAAGGGAGCGUAGACGGCAGCGCAAGUCUGGAGUGAAAUGCCGGGGCCCAACCCCGGAACUGCUUUGGAAACUGUGCAGCUCGAGGGCAGGAGAGGG